UACGGGGGGGGCAAGCGUUGUUCGGAAUUACUGGGCGUAAAGGGCGCGUAGGCGGCCACCGCAAGUCGACUGUGAAAUCUCCGGGCUUAACUCGGAAAGGUCAGCCGAUACUGCGGGGCUAGAGUGCAGAAGGGGCAACUGGAAUUCUCGGUGUAGCGGUGAAAUGCGUAGAUAUCGAGAGGAACACCUGCGGCGAAGGCGGGUUGCUGGGCUGACACUGACGCUGAGGCGCGAAAGCGUGGGGAGCGAACAGG
rnacentral:rRNA from 1 species